rnacentral:rRNA from 1 species
GAUGAACGCUGGCGGCGUGCCUAAUACAUGCAAGUCGAGCGAACAGAUGAGGAGCUUGCUCCUCUGACGUUAGCGGCGGACGGGUGAGUAACACGUGGAUAACCUCCCUAUAAGACUGGGAUAACUUCGGGAAACCGGAGCUAAUACCGGAUAAUAUAUUGAACCGCAUGGUUCAAUAGUGAAAGACGGUUUUGCUGUCACUUAUAGAUGGAUCCGCGCCGCAUUAGCUAGUUGGUAAGGUAACGGCUUACCAAGGCAACGAUGCGUAGCCGACCUGAGAGGGUGAUCGGCCACACUGGAACUGAGACACGGUCCAGACUCCUACGGGAGGCAGCAGUAGGGAAUCUUCCGCAAUGGGCGAAAGCUUGACGGAGCAACGCCGCGUGAGUGAUGAAGGUCUUCGGAUCGUAAAACUCUGUUAUUAGGGAAGAACAAAUGUGUAAGUAACUAUGCACGUCUUGACGGUACCUAAUCAGAAAGCCACGGCUAACUACGUG